CGGAGGGUGCAAGCGUUGUCCGGAUUUAUUGGGUUUAAAGGGUGCGUAGGCGGCCCGGUAAGUCAGUGGUGAAAGCCUCCAGCUCAACUGGAGAACUGCCAUUGAUACUGCCGGGCUUGAGUACAGACGAGGUUGGCGGAAUUGAUUGUGUAGCGGUGAAAUGCAUAGAUACAAUCAAGAACUCCGAUUGCGUAGGCAGCUAACUAGGCUGUAACUGACGCUGAGGCACGAAAGCGUGGGAGCGAACAGGAUU
rnacentral:rRNA from 1 species